UCCCAGACUCCUACGGGAGGCAGCAGUGGGGAAUAUUGGGCAAUGGACGCAAGUCUGACCCAGCAACGCCGCGUGAAGGAAGAAGGCUUUCGGGUUGUAAACUUCUUUUAAGGGGGAAGAGCAGAAGGCGGUACCCCUUGAAUAAGCCCCGGCUAACUACGUGCCAGCAGCCGCGGUAAUACGUAGGGGGCAAGCGUUAUCCGGAUUUACUGGGUGUAAAGGGAGCGUAGACGGCAGUGCAAGUCUGGAGUGAAAGGCGGGGGCUCAACCCCCGGACUGCUCUGGAAACUGUACGGCUGGAGUGCAGGAGAGGUAAGUGGAAUUCCUAGUGUAGCGGUGAAAUCCGUAGAUAUCUGGAGGAACAUCAGUGGCGAAGGCGACUAUCUGGCACAUAACUGACGCUGAGGAGCGAAAGCGUGGGUAGCAAACAGGAUUAGAUACCCCGGUAA
rnacentral:rRNA from 1 species